ensembl:processed_transcript 2210408F21Rik RIKEN cDNA 2210408F21 gene
GUGUCAUGCAAGAAGGAGGCGGCGGCGGCGGCCGGAGCUGGAGGGGGAGGAGGGGAGGAACCUGAUCCUCGGUAGCGAAGGGCUGGAGGCAAACACCGAGCUCCCCCUGAGCCGCCUGGGAGCAGGGAGGGUUCUGCUACCCUGAGGGGCCCUCCCCGCGGGGCAGAGGGGUUUCCUCAGCAGUGCCCCGGAGCAGGGACCGCGCCAGCCAGCAGAAACAGCUAGUUGUUGUCUGCAGUGAAGAAUAAUUGGAAGCAUGGUGCCUGUUUCUUUUCCUAGGAGCCAAGAAUAGGACAGCUUGGGAAGCUCAUCCUCGUCUACGGCCAAACGUUGGUUUCUCAUUUCUAGAAGAUGAAAGAUGUGAUGACUCAGGAAAAACUGGAAUCUUAGUAACUGUGGUGGGCAUUGAGCCUUGCCGUCCACAAGAGAAAGCUUGCUGCUCGAGAUGUG